AGCAACCCUAGGACAUUUCCGCCCUUUCCAGCCAGAGAGUGGGUGGAGGGGGCAACCACAUGGCUGGCUGGUACUUCUUACUCUGGGGGGUCUCCUCAUGAUCAGUUGCAUAACAGCCACGGUGGUCCUUGCACUCUGGGGAGUUACCCUCCUACUCCCAGGGGAUGAGCAAUCUCUUUAAGGUCUUUCCUCCUGGGCUGGGAGCCACACAAGUGUGCCAUGGAAUGUGGAGCUCCUCCCUGGGCAGAGUGCCUGAGAGCUAAGGGGAGGAUGACACCUCCCCCUGCAGUGACUCUUUAAGAGAAAAGGGUAAAAGGAGAAAAUCCAGAAUCUUGCUGUGUUGCCCAGGCAGGAAUGCAGUGGUGCAAUCACGGCUCACUGCAGCCUCUACCUCCUAGGCUCAAGCAAUCCUCAGCCUCCUGAGAGUAGCUGGGACUACAGCUCCUCUCUCGAUCGGAAGAUUUUUUACAGCCACCCUACUGAUCUUUAGGGAUUUGUAAACUAUUACCCAGGAAGAAGGCCCAUGGAGCUAAGGCCUCAGAACACCAAAGUCUGGACUGUCUGAGGGCACAUGCUAAUAACAGGAGGCUGGCAAAGUGGCCAGCUCCCAUGCCUUUGCAUGCAUUUGUCUUUACCUCCUGCUGCCUGGGAACAUCCUUCCAGGAGCAAUCGAGUCAACAGCACCACAGACACUGCUAUUCCGUUGAGAAAAGUUUUAUAUGGAAACACAUACUGAUCAUGAACACGAUAAACAGGGAGGGAAGCUCGGGCUCAGCCAGGAAACCUGCCACAAGGAAGACGUUUGGAACUAUCCAGGAGUAGUGUCAAACACUAACACCAUAUUUACAAGUCUAAUUUGGAACCUGGCCCUUUUUAAGUGCAGGAGGAAGUUGGAGGAGAAGCCAUGCAUGAAGUAAAAAAUACAUAUACACAGACAUAAACACCCACAUUUUCACACUUCUUUUGCCCAUUUUUUCCACAAGGAACAAAUGAGAGAAAGAAGCCCAGCCUCUCUCCCUGGAGUCCGUAUACUUACUACAGAUUUGUUAGAGAAGCCCCAGAUGGGGCUUGGAUUCAAGGAGCAGACUUCACUCUUACUGGCCCCACUCACGUGACAAUUCACCAAGGGAAUGCUUGGGACACAAGCAUGAAUGUCCAGAAGAGGCAAGAAAAUAUAUGGCUCACUUAACUUACACAUUACACAUAAGAGGCCUCAGUUUCUCCAAGUACUUUCACAUUUGAUCUUUAGCAGACUUCUAACCUGCAGUGACAGAGCUCAGCCAAGCUGUGAGACACAGAGGAAAGCAGCAUUUUGAUCCAGUGUGCACUGGGUCAGUCACUUCAUCCGAGACAGUCAGUCACACAUGCCAGCCCCAAGUAAGUCCCUGGGGGCUUGCAGCUGUUUUCUUUGUGGAGUGGAAAUUUGGGUUUUUUCCUUCAGUGGAUUUCUCCCUGCUGCUGUCACUGAGCUCCACGCUGCUCGCUCUGGACCCGAGACAGCUGCUCGGCGUGUGUGUGUGUGUGUGUGUGUGUGUGUGUGUGUGUGUGUGUGUAAUUUACUGUUCUGCUGCUGCUGGCUUGUCCCCGGCUGCUGGCUCGUCCUCGGCCACUGGCUUCUCAACCUGUGACUCUGGAGGAAUCAGAUACUGGACCUCCUCUGUGCUGACGGCUACUUUAUCUGGCUGGAGCCACCUCUUGAAAUGUUCCAAGGUGCUAUGAAAGGGCAGAAUAAAAGGGUGGCUGUGUCAGACCUCACUGAUUAAUUACUUAAUGAUUAUCUCAGUUACUCAAACACUACCUUCCCGCCCACCAGCAAUUUCUUCCUACAAUUGUUUUUCACUGCUAAACUGGGGAGUACAAGGAUACUCCUAAUGGCAGCUGUGCAUCCUGGCAGCUCUGCGCAUAAUUUACCCCAUAGUGGGCACUUUGACUACAGGCAGCAGCAGGCCCCCUUCAAAUGCAGAGCCUCUGAAGGCUUGAUGAGAACCGCUGAAGAGUUUACGCCUCAGUCCUAAAGACCUAAAGAUAGGUCUUUUUUCACUCAAAACAGGAGAGGAGAGAAAUUGUCAAGGGGAAGAAGCACUCAAAUAAAUACCAAAUUAUUAUUGAGGCAGAAAUCUGAGUAUCUUUUGCCUCUUAUAGCUGAGGCAGUCUGGGACUCAAUUACAGCACUUACUUGCACUAAGUGAUUUUAUUUUUGUGUGGGGUUUUUGUUUGUUUAUUUCAUCCUAUAGCAAGUCCCUAAGAUAAAAACAUCUGAGCAGCAAAUAUUCCCCACAAGAGAAUGACCACUAUGCCAGAGGGCUGUCUUUUUGUCUGGAUCUGUAGGGAGAGGGGAGAUGUAAUUGUCAAGUUCAAGGUCCCCUACCCGCCUUCCUUACAGGACCCUAUACCCUAAAGCUAUUAGAUGUUCACAGUAAAAUAUAAAUGACUAGAAAUAAUGUAAACCUUAUUCUAUGCUCCUCAAUAGCACAAAGUCUUAACCUAAGAAAGAAUACCAUAACAGCAGAUUUUAGGCAUCUCUUGGUAUAUGGGGGAAUUUAUGUUUUGGAUAGUUGGAUUUCUCAGCCCAUUACUCCCUUGCCAAAAGCAUACCACAAGGAGGAUCACCUACCUGGCCCUCACAUACGUGAAGACCUAUACAACCCCAUUGUAAAAUGGCCUCUGUUUAAAAGAUAAACUUUGAAGAAC